rnacentral:misc_RNA from 1 species
AAAGUCGUAACAAGGUUUCCGUAGGUGAACCUGCGGAAGGAUCAUUACAGAGUUAUGCCCUUAAAUUGGGUAGACCUCCAACCCUUUGUGUACUUGACUUUUGUUGCUUUGGCGGGCCGUUAGGCUUUUGCUUUCCAUCGGCUUUAAGCUGAUGUGUUGCCCGUCAGAGGAAAUUAAAACACUGAAUUUUAAAUUGUCUGAGUAUUAAAACAAAAUUAAUUAAAACUUUCAACAACGGAUCUCUUGGUUCUG